CUCGAGUGACGACACCCAGGCGAACUAGCUACGAGCUAACCUGAAGCUAACCCUGGCUAACCCAAAGCUAAAGCGGAGGUGGGAGCCGAGCUAACGGAUGUAGCCACCUAGCUUCAACCCAACCGGAGCUAACUGGAACACCCAUCGACCUGAACCUUACACGGAGUUUAGGUGGAGGUUUUCUGCGCCUGUUCGUGAGAAGUACCUGUAUUAAAAAAGUUUUAAAUCGAUCUAUUAAAAGGUCACCAUGGCAGCCUGUGUGUCUCCAACGUCAGCUACACAACGCAGCGUCCAUUUGGAUCAUUGAAGACAGCUGAGUGAGGCGUGGUGCCCAGAGAGCUGCAGAGACAACCUUGGCCUCCCUGACGUCUGUGUCUCUUGGUUUGGUUGGGGCGGACCAUCGACUUACAUACAUGUGCCGACACUUUGCGCCCUGUUUUAUAAAAUUUAGUGUUAAAAAUAAAUGUUUUUGCUCAAUUACUGGAAUUUCUUUGGUUAAGACAAAAGUGAGGAAUAAUCAUUUACAAGUUAUUUGUACAACAGGCCCAUUUUAAAUCCCAACAGUUUCUUAGCAGACAAUAGAAAUGUGUUCUUUACUAACUUUACUUGGUUUGAAAAUCUUACUAAAAUAAACUUGAGUGCCGUAUUGCAAAACCCAAUCAUACUUGUUAUGUAAACAUUAGCUUUGUAGAUAUUUUUUUACAGAUAUAUAUUUGUGUGCAACAAAAACCAAACUUAAAUAAUUUGUCAUUCUUUAUUGAAAAACAACAAAAUACAGGUAUACAGAAGUGUGGGAAAAUGAUAAUGUGAAAGUAUUGCACUAUAAAUGAAGUGAGAUGAGAUGAAGGUGAGAUGAAGGUGGACGCCAGCGGGCUGGACGCCGGACGAAGAAACCUGGAGACGGAUCGCUCAUACAGGAAGGGAAGAGCUUCCUCUUACCUUGAUGGAAUUAAAGUUAGCCGUCGUCUGAACGCCCAACCGUACGGUCUGAGGUCAAAGGUCACAGGAAACACACAACAGUCAGCAGUCAUACAGAUGCAUAAAGAUAACUAGCCAUGGCAACCAGCUGACAUGUCCCCACUUUCACCAAAACCUGGUGCCUGCCGGGUCACCUGAAUUCCUGUGUGAUGUCAGCACGGUCGGCCGUGACUGCUGCCAUCAGAGGUGACCUCUGAUCAGCUGAAUGAACUCACCUUCCAGGGUGACGCCGUGUUAGAGUCGGCUUCAUCCUGUAAACAAACAAAUGAGUGGUAACAUAAACACCACGUCUGGUUCUGGUGGAGGCGGAGGACAACACGCACCUUUCCAGGAGCAGAACCCAGAUGUUCUUGUUGCUACAAACAGAGACGAGCAGAGUUAAACCAGGAAGUGAGAGGGACCAGCUGCUGCAGACAGGUGACGCUCACCUGAGCCUGAACCAUAGGAGCCUCCUCAGCCAUCAGACCUUCUGACUCCAGUUCAGAUGCCACCUUGUUGAUGUCCCUCAGGCGGGACUCGUUGGCCUUCAGGUCCUGCAGGACAAAAGCACCUGCUGAUCACCUUGUUGCUGUCGGGUUAACAGGUCUGGUGUUAGAACGUGGUGGAUAAGAAUGUUCUGACGGGCCGAGGGUUCUGAACUCACCCUGCAGGACUGGGCCUGCUCCUUCAGGGCCUGGAUGCUGCUGCCGUAAGCCGACAGGUCCGACAUCAGGGCCUCGUGCUUCUUCAGGAGAGCCUGUGGAGCAGAACAUCAGAACCUUCAGCUCGUCUGACACAAGUGGAGCUUUCUCGCAGCGAUGGUCCAAUCGGAUCCGCCACUGUAAAACAAACCCUGCUCAGUUCACCGCAGACGUAGCUCUGCGGGUGUUUAGUGGAAAAGCGUGAGCCUUCUGCCGGCUGCCACGUGUCAUGGCUGCUCUGCAGCGGGAACACACAUCACAGCUUGUAAACCGUUUGAAAUAAGAGCGACGGGAACACGUUUGUCAUCACUUCCUGUGCGAGGCCAGCACUUCUACCCCUAACCCAUGAGACGCUCAAACGAGCAACGACGUCUGGUAGACAACCGAAGGAAAUGACAAAUACAGAAACACUAAUUAUGAAGGACUGGAAAGAGAGCAAAGAAAAGCGAUUGGAGUUUCUCAGGAAGGGACUUCCAUACCUCGGCCAAGUCCUCGUCUUUCCCUUAGUCUGGACUUCCAACGAUGGGCUCCUUCUCCCUCAUCCAGGACUCGGCCUCAUUAGCAUCCGCAAAGUACUGCUGGGCCUGCAGAGAGUCCUCCAGGUCCUGCCUCCUCUGGGACGCCUUGGCCUUCAGCGUGUCCCAACGUCCAUGAAGCUCCCACAGUUUAGUCUUCACUUCCUCACCAGCGAAGUGACCUGGACCCAAAAAAAGUGAGCCAGAACCUGCAGACACCUCAGAAACAUGUCAGGACCAGACCUGCUCUACCUUCUUCCACCAUGGUCUCUCCUUUCUGGGUGACAGCCUUGAUGCGAGGUUCAUGACCUGUGAUCUCAGCCUGCAGAGCCUGGUGCUUCUUCAGCAGGCUCUGGACACCAAUCAGGUCCUUCCCUUAGGACACAUGUUAGAGUUCAGCAUUAUGCAGUAGACAGACCAGUUUAACCCAGGGGUUUCUUUCUUCUACAAUCUGCUCUUUAACUGUAUUAUUUCCUGCUAUUUCAGCUGUUAACUUUAUUUUCUCUCUAAGUGUUUUUCUCCCCAGAAGAAGCUACAACGAUGUUCUGUUGAGCUGUGGUGGCCUCAUGGAGGGGGCCAUCGGCUAGCACACUGCUGCUAACCACUUAAACAUUCUCCCUCUCCUGAUAAUAACAUUUUACUUUCUUUGAUGUUGGAUGUGCUAAUACUAGUUUACCCGUUUAAUUAUAGAUUCACUAGGAUAAAUACAAUAAAGUUUAUCUCUUGCCAAAUAGAAUAUUUACUGUGGCGAGCCCGUGAAGAGGUGUAGGAGAAUGCAACAAAUUUGUCUGUUAAAAAGUCUGUUAUGUACAAAAACACAAUAUCAUCACACUAUUUUGGACCGAUACAUGACGGUCAGGUCCAGCUUGGGGAGAAAAUAUGACACGUCUUUCAGGAUGGACUUCAUCUUUGGUAGCUGGCGAAGCCGGGAAAAGCAGGAUCUAACCACCUGGCUAAUGUGGGAGUCCAUCCGCAUCUCUGGGUCCAAAACCACCCCCCGGUUAGUGAUGGUUGGCUUCACUAAGCUGCAAAAACAGGGUUGCAGGACAGGACUAAC